rnacentral:rRNA from 1 species
GAUGAACGAGGGGGGCGUGCCUAAUACAUGCAAGUCGAGCGAACAGACGAGGAGCUUGCUCCUCUGACGUUAGCGGCGGACGGGUGAGUAACACGUGGAUAACCUACCUAUAAGACUGGGAUAACUUCGGGAAACCGGAGCUAAUACCGGAUAAUAUAUUGAACCGCAUGGUUCAAUAGUGAACGACGGUUUUGCUGUCACUUAUAGAUGGAUCCGCGCCGCAUUAGCUAGUUGGUAAGGUAACGGCUUACCAAGGCAACGAUGCGUAGCCGACCUGAGAGGGUGAUCGGCCACACUGGCACUGAGACACGGUCCAGACUCCUACGGGAGGCAGCAGUAGGGUAUCUUCCGCAAUGGGCGAAAGCCUGACGGAGCAACGCCGCGUGAGUGAUGAAGGUCUUCGGAUCGUAAAACUCUGUUAUUAGGGAAGAACAACUGUGUAAGUAACUAUGCACGUCUUGACGGUACCUAAUCAGAAAGCCACGGCUAACUACGUG